rnacentral:lncRNA from 1 species
CAGCUUCUAGGCAAAUGUCAAAACCUUCUGGGGCUAUAAACUGAAUCAUACAGAUCUAUAGGGAAAAACAGGGCAUGAACACCAAAAGGAUGCAUCCUGUUGACCGUGGGUGGUGGAACGGACUUCUUCUGCCCCACGAACAUACUUGCUAACAACAACAACAAGUGACAAUUCAAAAAACACUCCAAGAUUAUCAGUUGAAAUGGCAUCAGUUGAUACUUUAUACCAUUUUAAGUAUCCCUUUUCUAACAAACAGUUCAUACAAAUAUAAUACAGUAUUAGUGUGAAGGGUUUUUUAUUCAAUUAGUGUUAAGUUUUAAAGUUCAUAUUCCUA